UUUUUUACAGAAGAAUAAAAAACCAAAAGUGAAAUUUUCUCUCACAUGGCUUUUCCCUAAUUCCUAAGCCCAGAGGAAGCUAUCAUGAAUGUUUAGUGUUUAUUCAGUAAGGCCUUCUGAUGCAGUUAUAAAUAUGCAGCACACUCUCACUGUCUCCUGUGUGCACACAAAAGGUGCUCAUAUACAUGUCAUUCUAUGCCUUGCUUGUUCACCUAACCACGUGAAUAACCACGUGUCAGGUCAUCCUUCCUUUUUUUUUUCCGAGACGGAGUCUGGCUCUGUCGCCAGGCUGGAGUGCAGUGGUGCAACCUUGGCUCACUGCAACUUCCGCCUCCCGGGUUCAAGCGAUUCUCCUGCCUCAGCUUACUGAAUAGCUGGAGCUACAGGCGCAUGCCACCACGCCAAGCUAAUUUUUGUAUUUUUAGUAGAGACGGGGUUUCACCAUGUUGGCCAGGAUGGUCUUGAUCUCUUGACCUUGUGAUCCGCCUGCCUCUGCCUCCCAAAGUGCUGGGAUUACAGGCAUGAGCCACCACACCUGGCCCCUACCUCCUCCUUCUAUAGGUGUCCAGUACCCUUGGUAUCGAAGCACCAUAACUAUUAAUACCUGAAGUUUUCCUCCAAUAAUAAUUUAGGCUGUGUCCCUGUUUUUCUCUAAAAUGAAUGUUGCCAUGAACAUCACUGUGCACAUAUAUCUUUGUGAACUUAUAUCUACAUGUGUCUGUAGGACAGAGUUCUAGAGGUGGGAUUUCUGGGCAAAUUAUAUACAUGUUUUAAUUUUUGACAGGUACUGCCAAAUUACCUUCUAAAAAUGCCUUACACACUAGAGUUUUUUUCCCCAUCUUCUCCCCAUACUCUCACCAACACUGAGAUACUCAGUCACUUUAAAUGUUUGCCAAUGGAGAGGCAAUCAUUGAUUGUUGCGACGUCCCCACACAUUUUUAAAGCUCGCAUGGCACACUUGGUCUGUGGUGUAGCUUUCUGGCCCCCUAGUGGCAAGGAGUGAGGGUCACAGUGGGCAGGCAUUCAGUCGUGAUGGGCAGCUGCUUUGGGGACCACAGAAGAUGGUGUGUGGGAAGGGAGGCCUGAGAAGCAUGGAGGUCAUGACACAGGAGUGAGGCCAGGAGGGACCUUACACUGGACAGUUGUCUGUUCAGAGUCCCGGCUGGGGGUUGGCCACACCAUGGGCGCUUGGAGCAGGAGUGCAAGCUGUAGGGUGGGAGAGGACUGUUUUGCAGCCUGAGCUGCAGUGAGGGAGGGGCCUGUCUUGCAGAGAGCCACGCAGAUCAGCAACAUGCCCUUUAUGGACGAGUCCUCUGGGUCUGAUGAUGACUGCAGCUCUCAGGCGAGUUUCCGAAUCUCGGUCCCCUCCUCUGAGUCCAGGAAGACCAGCGGACUAGGCAGCCCCCGGGCCAUCAAGAGAGGCGUCUCCAUGUCCUCACUGAGCUCGGAGGGUGACUACGCCAUCCCCCCGGACGCCUGCUCGCUGGACAGUGACUACUCAGAGCCUGAGCACAAACUGCAGCGCACCUCAUCCUACUCCACCGAUGGGCUGGGCCUGGGCGGGGAGUCACUGGAGAAGUCGGGCUACCUGCUGAAAAUGGGGAGCCGGGUGAAGACGUGGAAGAGGCGCUGGUUUGUCCUGAGACAGGGACAGAUUAUGUACUACAAGUCCCCGAGUGAUGUCAUCCGGAAACCUCAAGGCCAAGUGGAUCUGAACUCCUGCUGCCAAAUUGUUCGAGGGGAGGGUUCACAGACGUUUCAGCUCAUCUCUGAGAAGAAAACCUACUACCUGAUGGCCGAUUCACCCAGCCUGCUGGAGGAGUGGAUCCGAGUACUCCAGAGCCUGCUGAAGGUGCAGGCCACCGGGCCUCCAGCUCUGUCUCGGGGUGGCACCAAGCCCACCGUGAAGGGCUGGCUGACCAAGGUAAAGCAUGGCCACUCCAAGCUGGUCUGGUGCGCUCUUGUUGGGAAAACCUUCUACUACUAUCGGAGCCAUGAGGACAAGGUACUUCUCAGCCUCCCCACAAUACCCACUCUCCUGCUUCCCCCAAAGCACAUGACUGCCACUCCAUGUCCUGAUGAAAGUCUCUACCCCACGUAACCCCACAAUAAAUACAAAAUCAGUUGGCUGG
rnacentral:sRNA from 1 species